rnacentral:hammerhead_ribozyme from 1 species
GAGCGAAACGCCCCUCGGGGCGUCGUCCGGACGUUGUGGUCCGGGCCUGAUGAGCAGCUGGAG